CCUACGGGAGGCAGCAGUAGGGAAUCUUCCCCAAUGGACGAAAGUCUGAUGGAGCAACGCCGCGUGAGCGAUGAAGGCCUUCGGGUCGUAAAGCUCUGUUGUUAGGGAAGAACAAGUACCGGAGUAACUGCCGGUACCUUGACGGUACCUAACCAGAAAGCCACGGCUAACUACGUGCCAGCAGCCGCGGUAAUACGUAGGUGGCAAGCGUUGUCCGGAAUUAUUGGGCGUAAAGCGCGCGCAGGCGGUCCUUUAAGUCUGAUGUGAAAGCCCACGGCUCAACCGUGGAGGGUCAUUGGAAACUGGGGGACUUGAGUGCAGAAGAGGAAAGCGGAAUUCCACGUGUAGCGGUGAAAUGCGUAGAGAUGUGGAGGAACACCAGUGGCGAAGGCGGCUUUCUGGUCUGUAACUGACGCUGAGGCGCGAAAGCGUGGGGAGCAAACAGGAUUAGAUACCCUGGUAGUCCACGCCGUAAACGAUGAGUGCUAAGUGUUAGGGGGUUUCCGCCCCUUAGUGCUGCAGCUAACGCAUUAAGCACUCCGCCUGGGGAGUACGGCCGCAAGGCUGAAACUCAAAGGAAUUGACGG
rnacentral:rRNA from 1 species